AUUGAACGCUGGCGGCAGGCCUAACACAUGCAAGUCGAGCGGAUGACGGGAGCUUGCUCCUUGAUUCAGCGGCGGACGGGUGAGUAAUGCCUAGGAAUCUGCCUGGUAGCGGGGGACAACGUUUCGAAAGGAACGCUAAUACCGCAUACGUCCUACGGGAGAAAGCAGGGGACCGUCGGGCCUUGCGCUAUCAGAUGAGACUAGGUCGGAUUAGCUAGUUGGUGGGGUAAUGGCUCACGAAGGCGGCGAUCCGUAACUGGUCAGAGAGGAUGAUCAGUCACACUGGAACUGAGACACGGUCCAGACGCCUACGGGAGGAAGCAGUGGGGAAUAUUGGACAAUGGGCGAAAGCCUGAUCCAGCCAUGCCGCGUGUGUGAAGAAGGUCUUCGGAUUGUAAAGCACUUUAAGUUGGGAGGAAGGGCAGUAAGCUAAUACCUUGCUGUUUUGACGUUACCGACAGAAUAAGCACCGGCUAACUCUGUGCCAGCAGCCGCCGCAG
rnacentral:rRNA from 1 species